GUGAAUCAUCAAAUUUUUGAACGCAAAUUGCACUCUCUUCGGAGCGUAUGCCUGUUUGAGUUUCAGCCUAAAAACAAUCCACAUAGUUGCCUGUUUCGCGGUGACAUUCGUCGGCCAUUGGGUCCUCUUCAACCUUUGGGUUUUACGCGGCUUCAAAUUUUCUUUACGACUCCACGAACGUUUCUAAGAUUUCCUUCUUAUACGUUUAAGGUCUCGCUCUUUAUUAUACGUGUCCGUUGCAUCGGAUCUCGUCCAUCAAUUUUUCGUUAACUGACCUCAGACAGCUAAGUACACCCGCUG
rnacentral:misc_RNA from 1 species